rnacentral:lncRNA from 1 species
GGGUGGAUACAUAGAUAGAGAGAUAUAUGUCCUUCUGGUCCUGUUUCCCUGGAGAACGCUGACUAUACAGGCUGCAAAGUCAGUGACCCUGCAGCCACGUGGCAGGCUGCUCUCCUGUGAAGUAAGGUACCACACUGCAGUGCAGAAUUGGUUGCCACGGUGACAAACCGGGCUGCCAGCUGUAGGGGUAUCCGGGGAGCCUCAGUGGCUGGACCCAUGGGUGGCUCCCCUUCCCACCCCAUGUCUGCUAUGCACAGGAGGCCACUGGGCAGCGUGGGAGUGGCGGGAGUUCCAAGAACCUUACGAGAGUCCAGAUACUUAACGUCGGCUGCAUGACCCAGCAGACAAGUGACUUCAGGAUGGGCAUUUCAGGUCACCUGAUGCCUAACAGACGAGAGUCAGUCUCUCCUUGGGCCCAGGAGGAAGCUGAAUGCUGAAUCUCAAGGGGAGGAAAGGUCCUGGCCAGAGAGGGUGUGGCUGUGCCCCACACUCGGGACAGGCGCUUGAGUUCUCUCAAAGCAGGCAUCCACUCAGGCCACCUGGAUAUAGAUAGAGGUAGAGAAGCAGACGCCCAGAUGUGGUCCAUGCUUCCUCCAGAAAGUGUUGUGCGCUUGUCCUUCACUAUGAGUGUGUCUGUGUUCACUGUACCCCAGAGAGAACGUCACUGAGAAUGCACGAGCCUGUCUUCUCAUAGGGUCUCCUUCCCACUCUCUGCCACGCAUGGUUUCUACCAAAGUGACCUCCUGCUUCCUCCUCUCCAGGUUCCAUUGCCACCAUGUCCUGGGGCUGAACAAGGGGUCAGGGUCCCUGUGCACUCACUCACAGCUGAGAGCCAGAGAGUUCAAGUCACCCCAAGGCUAGACCAUGCUACAUGCCUCCCGGGUGACAGCACACGGCCUCCGUGGCUUUCUGCAUGUCAGGACACACCUAAAAAAGGCCAACACGAAAGCAGGGUUCACUGGCUAAGUUGCUGCUUGCCGGGUGCGAUUGCCUGCAUUGAUUUGCUCCAAUUAAGAACAUCUGGGGGGCCCGCCCGGUGGCGCAGCGGUUAAGUGCACACGUUCCGCUUCGGCGGCCUGGGGUUCACUAGUUCGGAUCCCAGGUGUGGACAUGGCACCGCGUGACAAGCCACGCUGUGGCGGACGUCCCACGAUUAUCUGGAAGGACGGCUGCAAUUAUGUCUCACACACACACACCCCCUCGAUUUUAAGACCUUCCCCAAUGCGGCACAGCCCGCAGCUGGAAAGCUGACCCAGGGUAACACCUAGAGGAGGGCUGCCAAGUCCCGUCCAUCGCGCUCGCCUCGCUGGAGAGCGCCACACCGUUUCUGAUGCUGUUCAGUCCACGCACGGCCAUCCGGGCACGCGUGUCCUUGCCCACAAGUGUGAACAUUCAUCAGUCAGGCAGGUGUUAAAGGGCAUCACCUUAUGACUUUAAUUCCCAUUUCCCUGACUACUAACCUGGUUUUCACAUGUUUCUUGGCCAUUUCUGUUUCCUGCUCUGUGACGGGCCUUUUCGUGUCUUUUGCCCAUUUUUCUCUCGGAUCCCACAUCUCACUGACGUGUGGGGCAGCUUUGAUGUCUUACUGGGUAGAAACCGCUUGUCGCUUACGUGUAUGGGAGAUAGCUUCUCCUAAUUUGUGGCUUGACUUCACGUUCUUUAUAAUGACUCCCGGUGAACAAAUGUUCUUUGCUUGUUUCUUACCAUCUCAGGAAAAU